CAGCCGCCGCGGUAAUACCGGCGGCCCGAGUGGCGGCCACUAUUUUUGGGCUUAAAGCGUCCGUAGCCGGGUUGGUUAGUCUCCCGGGAAAUCUGGCCGCUUAACGGUCAGAAUUCCGGGAGAUACUGCCAGCCUAGGGACCGGGAGCGGCCGAGGGUAUUCCCGGGGUAGGGGUGAAAUCCUAUAAUCCCGGGAGGACCACCUGGGGCGAAGGCGCUCGGCUGGAACGGGUCCGACGGUGAGGGACGAAGGCCAGGGGAGCAAACCGGAUUAGAUACCCGGGUAGUCCUGGCUGUAAACGAUGCGGACUUUGUGUCGGACAAGCUAUGAGCUUGUCCGGUGCCGGAGGGAAACCGUUAAGUCCGCCGCCUGGGGAGUACGGCCGCAAGGCUGAAACUUAAAGGAAUUGGCGGG
rnacentral:rRNA from 1 species